rnacentral:lncRNA from 1 species
UUAUUUUGAGACGAGUCUCGCUCUGUCGCCGGGCUGGAGUGCAGUGGCGUGAUCUUGGCUCACUGCAACCUCCGCCUCCUGGGUUCAAGCGAUUGUCCUGCCUCAGCCUCCUGAGUAGCUGGCACUACAGGCGCAUGCCACCACACCCAGUUAAUUUUUUUAGUAGAGAUGAGAUUUCACCAUGUUGGCCAGGAUGGUCUCAAUCUCUUGACCUUGUCAUCUGCCUGUCUUGGCCUUCCAAAGUUCCGGGAUUACAGGCGUGAGCCACCGCGCCCAGCCCAAAUUUGGUUUUUCUAACUGAGUUCACCUGCCCUCAAUUUUGUUAUACAAGGAAGCAGUAUGGCUUAGUGUUUAAAAAAUGUCGGCUCUGUGGUUAUUUUCAAAUAUUUGCUCCUUUGCUUAUAAUGAUAAUGAGGCAUAAUGAUAUGCCUCAGUUUCUUCAUGUAAAAAAAUCACAUUAGCAAUUAUACCCACAUGAUAGGCUUAUAAGAAUUAACUGAGAAAAUAAAUUUAAAAGUCAUAAGCACAAUGCUUAGGAAAUGUAAGUCCUGGAUGAGUGUUGGCCAUUGUUAACUUUGUUUUAUUUUACACAUCUUUCUUCUCUAUCUUUUGCAAAUUGCUUUUCAUUCUUCACACAUGAUUCCUGGCUAGAUACAGUGGCUCAAACCUGUAAUCCCAGCACUUUGGGAGGCUGAGACUGGAGGAUCGCAUGAGCCCAGGAGUUCAAGACCAGUCUGGGCAACAAAGUGAGACCCCCAUCUCUAUAAAAAAAUCAAAAAAUUAGUGGGAUGUGGUGGCAGGUGCCUGUGGACCCAGCUACUCGGGAUGCUGAGAUGGGAGGAUUGCCUGAGCCUGGAAGUCAGGGCUGCAGUGAGUCGUAAUCACACCACUGCACUCCAGCCUGGGUGCUCCUGUCUCAAACAACAACAACGCCAAACAAAGAAAAAGUAAAACAAAACUCAUAAUUCCAGUCAAUCUAAGUAGCACCUCUUUGGGUGAAUGAAGCCACUUGCCAAUUGUCUCACCAGCAGGAACUUUCUCACAUUUAGUAGCUUGAGGAAAGGGAUGAAGAAAAUUGAUUGUGUUUGUGACUAAGUGAUUGAUUUUCCAGAGAGGAAAAAAGGUGGCCUUGAAAGAAAACAGUGAGAAGACUUGGGCUACACUGGUGUGAGUUUUAAGGGUAAGGAAAAUGCUGUAGAAUACUGUCCUUGACUUGAUGGAACUCUUUAUGGGAGAGAGAGUAGGCCUCAGGUGUGCUUGCAUGGUUUUGAGACAGGUGAUGAGUUUCUCUUGGUCUUGUGCUGAUGCUGGUCCUGCAGCUGCAAGAACAGAUCAUAACUUUCCUCUGUGUAGGGUGGAAAAGCAUUUGUUCUCUGGAUGUGCAUUAUCUCAUUUUGAUUCUGGCAGUGGGCCCAAAUGCUAAGUGUCUUGCCCAAAGUAGAAAUUUCCAGUUGCUACUUCCAUGGUGUGCCGCACAGGCAAUGGCUGAGUUCUUGUAGCUUCACAGACAUGUAGACACGAGAGAAAGCCAAGGGUACGAGCUGGAGACAUGGAUGUGCGACUCAUUCAGCCAGUUUUUCCAGAGAUCUACUUGAUAGAGGGAAAGGAGAAAGGAAGAUGUCAUUGAACCAAGAGAAAAUUGUCUUUCUCCAUACCUUGGAAUAUUAUUUGGCAAUAAUGAAGGAAUAUUAUUUGGCAAUAAUGAAGGAAUGAAGGACUGAUAUAUGAUACAGCACAGAUGGACUUUGGAAGCAUACUAAGAGAAAGAAGCUAGUCUCGAAGAACACAUUGUAUGAUUCCAUUCCUAUGAAAUGUCCAGAAUAGCAAAGCUAUAAAGAUACAAAGUAGAUUAGUAGUCACCUUUGGCCAGUGAGGUUGGGGAGAAAUGGAGAGCGAUUGCUAAUGAUUACAAACUUUCCUUUUAGCGUAAUAGAAAUGUUCUAAAAGUGAUGAUUGUACAAUGUUGUAAAUAUAUUAAAAACCAUUGGCUUGUGUACUUCAAGUAGGUGUAUUGUAUUGCCAUAUCUCAAUAAAUUAUAUCUCAAUAAAGCCAUUUUAUUUAUAUAAAUUUAAGGGGUGCACAUGCAGUUUUGUUACAUGGUUAUAUUGCAUAGCGUGAAGUCUGGGCUUUUAGUGUAAUCAUCACCUGAAUAA